GCUGCGGAUGGCCAUGCGGCGCAUUAGCUAGUCGGCGGGGUAACGGCCCACCGAGGCGACGAUGCGUAGGGGUUCUGAGAGGAAGGUCCCCCACACUGGUACUGAGACACGGACCAGACUCCUACGGGAGGCAGCAGUGAGGAAUAUUGGUCAAUGGCCGGGAGGCUGAACCAGCCAAGUCGCGUGAGGGAAGACGGCCCUACGGGUUGUAAACCUCUUUUGUCAGGGAGCAAGAGGCGGGUCGAGACCUGCUGUGAGAGUACCUGAAGAAAAAGCAUCGGCUAACUCCGUGCCAGCAGCCGCGGUAAUACGGAGGAUGCGAGCGUUAUCCGGAUUUAUUGGGUUUAAAGGGUGCGCAGGCGGAGGCACAAGUCAGCGGUAAAAUCGCGGGGCUCAACCCCGCUCCGCCGUUGAAACUGUGUCCCUUGAGUGCGCGAAGGGUAGGCGGAAUGCGUGGUGUAGCGGUGAAAUGCAUAGAUAUCACGCAGAACUCCGAUCGCGAAGGCAGCCUACCGGCGCGCAACUGACGCUCAUGCACGAAAGCGUGGGUAUCGAACAGGAUUAGAUACCCUGGUAGUCCACGCAGUAAACGAUGAAUGCUAUCUGUCCGGCCGGAAUGACGGCUGGGUGGC
rnacentral:rRNA from 1 species